GACGAACGCUGGCGGCGUGCUUAACACAUGCAAGUCGAACGGAAAGGCCCUGCUUUUGUGGGGUGCUCGAGUGGCGAACGGGUGAGUAACACGUGAGUAACCUGCCCUUGACUUUGGGAUAACUUCAGGAAACUGGGGCUAAUACCGGAUAGGAGCUCCUGCUGCAUGGUGGGGAUUGGAAAGUUUCGGCGGUUGGGGAUGGACUCGCGGCUUAUCAGCUUGUUGGUGGGGUAGUGGCUUACCAAGGCUUUGACGGGUAGCCGGCCUGAGAGGGUGACCGGCCACAUUGGGACUGAGAUACGGCCCAGACUCCUACGGGAGGCAGCAGUGGGGAAUAUUGCACAAUGGGCGGAAGCCUGAUGCAGCAACGCCGCGUGCGGGAUGAAGGCCUUCGGGUUGUAAACCGCUUUCGCCUGUGACGAAGCGUGAGUGACGGUAAUGGGUAAAGAAGCACCGGCUAACUACGUG
rnacentral:rRNA from 1 species